rnacentral:rRNA from 1 species
AGCGUACACGGUGGAUGCCCUGGCAGUCAGAGGCGAUGAAGGACGUGCUAAUCUGCGAUAAGCGUCGGUAAGGUGAUAUGAACCGUUAUAACCGGCGAUUUCCGAAUGGGGAAACCCAGUGUGAUUCGUCACACUAUCAUUAACUGAAUCCAUAGGUUAAUGAGGCGAACCGGGGGAACUGAAACAUCUAAGUACCCCGAGGAAAAGAAAUCAACCGAGAUUCCCCCAGUAGCGGCGAGCGAACGGGGAGCAGCCCAGAGCCUGAAUCAGUGUGUGUGUUAGUGGAAGCGUCUGGAAAGGCGUGCGAUACAGGGUGACAGCCCCGUACACAAAAAUGCACAUGCUGUGAGCUCGAUGAGUAGGGCGGGACACGUGGUAUCCUGUCUGAAUAUGGGGGGACCAUCCUCCAAGGCUAAAUACUCCUGACUGACCGAUAGUGAACCAGUACCGUGAGGGAAAGGCGAAAAGAACCCCGGCGAGGGGAGUGAAAAAGAACCUGAAACCGUGUACGUACAAGCAGUGGGAGCACGCUUAGGCGUGUGACUGCGUACCUUUUGUAUAAUGGGUCAGCGACUUAUAUUCUGUAGCAAGGUUAACCGAAUAGGGGAGCCGAAGGGAAACCGAGUCUUAACUGGGCGUUAAGUUGCAGGGUAUAGACCCGAAACCCGGUGAUCUAGCCAUGGGCAGGUUGAAGGUUGGGUAACACUAACUGGAGGACCGAACCGACUAAUGUUGAAAAAUUAGCGGAUGACUUGUGGCUGGGGGUGAAAGGCCAAUCAAACCGGGAGAUAGCUGGUUCUCCCCGAAAGCUAUUUAGGUAGCGCCUCGUGAAUUCAUCUCCGGGGGUAGAGCACUGUUUCGGCAAGGGGGUCAUCCCGACUUACCAACCCGAUGCAAACUGCGAAUACCGGAGAAUGUUAUCACGGGAGACACACGGCGGGUGCUAACGUCCGUCGUGAAGAGGGAAACAACCCAGACCGCCAGCUAAGGUCCCAAAGUCAUGGUUAAGUGGGAAACGAUGUGGGAAGGCCCAGACAGCCAGGAUGUUGGCUUAGAAGCAGCCAUCAUUUAAAGAAAGCGUAAUAGCUCACUGGUCGAGUCGGCCUGCGCGGAAGAUGUAACGGGGCUAAACCAUGCACCGAAGCUGCGGCAGCGACGCUUAUGCGUUGUUGGGUAGGGGAGCGUUCUGUAAGCCUGCGAAGGUGUGCUGUGAGGCAUGCUGGAGGUAUCAGAAGUGCGAAUGCUGACAUAAGUAACGAUAAAGCGGGUGAAAAGCCCGCUCGCCGGAAGACCAAGGGUUCCUGUCCAACGUUAAUCGGGGCAGGGUGAGUCGACCCCUAAGGCGAGGCCGAAAGGCGUAGUCGAUGGGAAACAGGUUAAUAUUCCUGUACUUGGUGUUACUGCGAAGGGGGGACGGAGAAGGCUAUGUUGGCCGGGCGACGGUUGUCCCGGUUUAAGCGUGUAGGCUGGUUUUCCAGGCAAAUCCGGAAAACUAAGGCUGAGGCGUGAUGACGAGGCACUACGGUGCUGAAGCAACAAAUGCCCUGCUUCCAGGAAAAGCCUCUAAGCAUCAGGUAACAUCAAAUCGUACCCCAAACCGACACAGGUGGUCAGGUAGAGAAUACCAAGGCGCUUGAGAGAACUCGGGUGAAGGAACUAGGCAAAAUGGUGCCGUAACUUCGGGAGAAGGCACGCUGAUAUGUAGGUGAAGCGACUUGCUCGUGGAGCUGAAAUCAGUCGAAGAUACCAGCUGGCUGCAACUGUUUAUUAAAAACACAGCACUGUGCAAACACGAAAGUGGACGUAUACGGUGUGACGCCUGCCCGGUGCCGGAAGGUUAAUUGAUGGGGUCAGCGCAAGCGAAGCUCUUGAUCGAAGCCCCGGUAAACGGCGGCCGUAACUAUAACGGUCCUAAGGUAGCGAAAUUCCUUGUCGGGUAAGUUCCGACCUGCACGAAUGGCGUAAUGAUGGCCAGGCUGUCUCCACCCGAGACUCAGUGAAAUUGAACUCGCUGUGAAGAUGCAGUGUACCCGCGGCAAGACGGAAAGACCCCGUGAACCUUUACUAUAGCUUGACACUGAACAUUGAGCCUUGAUGUGUAGGAUAGGUGGGAGGCUUUGAAGUGUGGACGCCAGUCUGCAUGGAGCCGACCUUGAAAUACCACCCUUUAAUGUUUGAUGUUCUAACGUUGACCCGUGAUCCGGGUUGCGGACAGUGUCUGGUGGGUAGUUUGACUGGGGCGGUCUCCUCCUAAAGAGUAACGGAGGAGCACGAAGGUUGGCUAAUCCUGGUCGGACAUCAGGAGGUUAGUGCAAUGGCAUAAGCCAGCUUGACUGCGAGCGUGACGGCGCGAGCAGGUGCGAAAGCAGGUCAUAGUGAUCCGGUGGUUCUGAAUGGAAGGGCCAUCGCUCAACGGAUAAAAGGUACUCCGGGGAUAACAGGCUGAUACCGCCCAAGAGUUCAUAUCGACGGCGGUGUUUGGCACCUCGAUGUCGGCUCAUCACAUCCUGGGGCUGAAGUAGGUCCCAAGGGUAUGGCUGUUCGCCAUUUAAAGUGGUACGCGAGCUGGGUUUAGAACGUCGUGAGACAGUUCGGUCCCUAUCUGCCGUGGGCGCUGGAGAACUGAGGGGGGCUGCUCCUAGUACGAGAGGACCGGAGUGGACGCAUCACUGGUGUUCGGGUUGUCAUGCCAAUGGCACUGCCCGGUAGCUAAAUGCGGAAGAGAUAAGUGCUGAAAGCAUCUAAGCACGAAACUUGCCCCGAGAUGAGUUCUCCCUGACUCCUUGA